GGGGGCCCCAAGUUCAGGGCCAGUUGAUAUUCCUUUGCAAGUGGCUCUGGAAACAUGUUCCAAUCACAGAAGCCCAGAAACUGAGAUCUCAGGGAGCGAUCCAGGCUGAGCGAGAGACUAGAGAACCUUUGGGAGUUGGGAGCACCGCCCCCCACCCGGAGCCCCGGUCUGGGGCACAAGGCCCCGCGGGUUCCAGGUACUCUCCUGGGAGGAACUGAGGGAGGGAGGUGGCGAGGCCCCGCAGUAGCUCGGGGGCUGACUCUGGGGACCUGGUACCUGUGCAGAAGGACCUGGCGGGGAUGGGUUGAGAGUAGAUGGUGCUGACGGGGUUGGUGGCCCUACAGGUGUAGGAGGGGACACUGUCCCCAGGCCUCCAGGAGGUGCUGAGGGCAGAGCCCUCGUGCACGGUGUCCCUGCAAUUGUCCCGGGAUAUCCAGCUGUAGGUCACGUCCUGGCCUGCCUCCUCCACGGAGCACGCCAGAGAGAGAUUGCAGCUCUCUUCCGCAGCCAUCUCAAAGUUCACGGAGACAUGAGGCUCCGACAGCCGUCCUGGACGCGGGAGGACACAAAGCCCUUGAGGCACUCAGGCCCAGGUUGGGUCUGCUGUCUUAAGCUCCUCAAUACCGGGGUGAAGGGCCGAGAGCCCCUCCACGUAGACAGAAAAAUCUGGUCCCGGGCUCCCCCGGGGCAGCUGCUAAGAUAGAGGGAGCCGCUUUGAGCACUACCCACACCCACUCCCCCCGCCCCCAUGCCCCCACGUCCUUCUGUCCCUCACCUGCGUGCCCUGCCUUCCUCCAAAUCUCAUUUUGCCGCCUCGAUCCCAAAACACAUUAUCACACUUCCUGGGGGCAUUUAUAGUUUAAUCAGUGUCUCUGCAAGAUUCACGGUAGAGAAUCAGCCAGUGUCACAGGCACUGAGCAAUGUGGUUCGGCUACACAGGGGUAUGGGUUAGCAGCCCCCACAUGGCACGGGAGGAUGGAAGGCUGAGGAAUAGAGGUGGGAGCGAAGGGCCCCUGGGGUCUGCUCGUGAAGCUCCUGACCCCUCUCGCUAUGCCGGGAAGGUCUCGGGGAAGAGCCUGCGUGCCCAGGGCCUCCCCGGGCCGGGCCACUCCGUUUGAGGCCGCCGCUCAGAUCCCGCCGGGCUUGGGCACCCCGGGCACAGUGUGCCUUCCAGACCCCACCCCUCAAACCGUAACUCUGAGUCCCGAGACCUCGGGUGCUUUGCACACAAAGCUCAGGGAGAGCCGGGAACAAGCAGCCACAGGGUCCCCGGCCUAAACUCACGGUAGACGCGCAGGCUGUACCGCUGCAUGGAGGAUGCCUGCGAUGUCCUCAGGUUGACCUGAGCGUAGUAGAGCCCCGAGUCCUCCCAGCUCAGAUUGCUGAUGCACAGGGAGUAGUCGGGGCCCACCAGGCUCACCCGGCGCUGGUAUCGAGGGUUGGUCAGCACGAUUUUGGUCGGCUGUCCCUCUCUGCCCGGAAUCACCACGGCAAGGCUCGCCGAGGAGGACCAGAUGAUGUUCUCGACCUCCUCAUCGGCCGGUAUCUCCACGGGGAGGCUGAUGGACUCCUGAAGGACCCCAACUACUUCCUCUGCAUCCACAUCAUCUCCAGAAUACCCUUCGGCUGCAGAAAAAGGAAGAAAAGACGGAAACAGUGCAGCUGGCGCCUGGCUCUGGGCUGCUGAGCCUGGCACGGGAGGGGGGCACUGCCAGGUGGGUUCCAUCUUUUGGGGCAUCUCUGUCCCCUGCUAGACACAUGGAGCGACCAAUUGAUAUUUCUGGAAUGGAUGAAUAAGUGAAAUAUUCCUAUUUGAAGCUUGCUAGAUUCCCACUUAACUGUUUAGAGGAAGAAAAAAUUUUAACCCUCAAAAAAAAAAAAA